rnacentral:rRNA from 1 species
GGACGGCAGCACAGAGAAGCUUGCUUCUUGGGUGGCGAGUGGCGAACGGGUGAGUAAUGUAUCGGAACGUACCGAGUAAUGGGGGAUAACUAAUCGAAAGAUUAGCUAAUACCGCAUAUUCUCUGAGGAGGAAAGCAGGGGACCUUCGGGCCUUGCGUUAUUCGAGCGGCCGAUAUCUGAUUAGCUAGUUGGUGGGGUAAAGGCCUACCAAGGCGACGAUCAGUAGCGGGUCUGAGAGGAUGAUCCGCCACACUGGGACUGAGACACGGCCCAGACUCCUACGGGAGGCAGCAGUGGGGAAUUUUGGACAAUGGGCGCAAGCCUGAUCCAGCCAUGCCGCGUGUCUGAAGAAGGCCUUCGGGUUGUAAAGGACUUUUGUCAGGGAAGAAAAGGCUGUUGCUAAUACCGACAGCUGAUGACGGUACCUGAAGAAUAAGCACCGGCUAACUACGUGCCAGCAGCCGCGGUAAUACGUAGGGUGCGAGCGUUAAUCGGAAUUACUGGGCGUAAAGCGAGCGCAGACGGUUACUCAAGCAGGAUGUGAAAUCCCCGGGCUCAACCUGGGAACUGCGUUCUGAACUGGGUGACUAGAGUGUGUCAGAGGGAGGUAGAAUUCCACGUGUAGCAGUGAAAUGCGUAGAGAUGUGGAGGAAUACCGAUGGCGAAGGCAGCCUCCUGGGAUAACACUGACGUUCAUGCUCGAAAGCGUGGGUAGCAAACAGGAUUAGAUACCCUGGUAGUCCACGCCCUAAACGAUGUCAAUUAGCUGUUGGGCAACUUGAUUGCUUAGUAGCGUA